UACAGAGGGUGCAAGCGUUGUUCGGAAUUACUGGGCGUAAAGCGCACGUAGGCGGCUUUGUAAGUUAGAGGUGAAAGCCCGGGGCUCAACUCCGGAAUUGCCUUUAAGACUGCAUCGCUAGAAUUGUGGAGAGGUAAGUGGAAUUCCGAGUGUAGAGGUGAAAUUCGUAGAUAUUCGGAAGAACACCAGUGGCGAAGGCGACUUACUGGACACAUAUUGACGCUGAGGUGCGAAAGCGUGGGGAGCAAACAGG
rnacentral:rRNA from 1 species